rnacentral:lncRNA from 1 species
AUGGCAAUGUUGGCUCGAGCAUCGGUUCACUGCUGCAGGACGAAACACAGGGCCUGCUGCAACUGCUGCACCGGAAAGAAGAGCCGAAAUGAGUCACUUGUGAAUCACCGCUUGUUUCCCGUCCUGAGCUCAUCUACAAUCUCAUGGCGAUCAAACGGCCUUUUACAACGUGUUAAUGCAUGGCUAUGCUGCCCCAGCAUCCAGCAGAGCCCCCCUCAUUUGCAGGAGGCCAGGACAGUCUCUCCCAGCGAAUCAGCAGUGCUUUUCAGGUGCAGGAAUGGAAGAAGGCACAAAAAGCUCAUUGUCAGUUUAAGCAAAUCCAUCCAGCAGGUCUUCACAAAAAGAAGAAAAAAAGAAGGCAUGAGGAUGGAGAAUAAGGUGUGA